AGGAUAUUAGUUAAAUCAUUAAUAUAACAUUUAUUUUGCAAAUAAAAAUUAUUUUAUAAAUAUAUCUUU
rnacentral:tRNA from 1 species